AUGUAUGUACUAAAGUCACCAUUGCCACCUCCUAUUAACAUAUCCUGGGUCACAGUCAGCACCACAACAGCAGAUAUUUCCUUGGGAGCUGAGGAGGUUGGCAACAGUGUUGCCAGCAUUUUUGUUGGCAAGUGGCUGGGCUGGUGGGAGAAACUGCCCAAAGGAAGCACUGUGGUUUCGGCCACACAGUUGUUGGAUGAGUUAAUGGGCUGGGACGGAAACCUCGCCCCAGACAAGAAGCGCAGCAACAUGUGGUAGGACCACAAGAGCAUUUAUAAAUAUUUUCUCUGCGGUUUUUGUCUGCAGAAUUGUUCACAAAUACACAUUCUGAUCUUGGUCCAUGUGAAAAAAACUCAUACUGAAAACCUACAAAAGCAGUGUAAGAAGAGCUCUUGUUUUAUGAAAGUUGGCUAUGAGAGAGGUUUUUUUUUUUUCCAUAAUUACAGAGCUUACUUGCAAAAGUAGAACGUAGAAUCAGAUAAGGCCAUGCUCGUUUGGCAUCUCAAAGCCAGCAGUCUUCUUGGGCGGCUGGCCCAACAGGCAAAAAUGAAGCAAAAAUUCAGGUUCUAACAGACAACAUUGAUGUGCUUCUGCAACAGACUGAAGAAUUAGGGGUAGAAGGAAAAGUAGUAGAAGCCCAGUGGAUGAUGAAAUUAGUUGAACAAUUAAAAGACGAGAGAGAAUUGCCUGGAUCCACAACCUUGAAAAUUGAAAGUUUUGCUGAACACAUACAAAAAAAAUGGAAGUUGGUGAAGUGUGUGGAGCCUUUUUGAUAGUAGGAGAUGCCCAGUCCCAGGUAGAUGACCGUUUGUUGGGAAAACAACACAUGGGAUAUGCCAACAUUAAAACUACUGUAGAAGAAUUAAAAGAAACAUUAAGAAAAAGAACUCAAGAAUCUGAUCAUGAUGACUGUCUAAAAAGGGAGAAGCAAGAAAGAAAAGAGAAAAAGAACAUGAAAGAGGAAGUGAAGGAGAAAGGAAAAGAUUAA